rnacentral:rRNA from 1 species
CCUACGUGGGGCAGCAGUGAGGAAUAUUGGUCAAUGGGCGGGAGCCUGAACCAGCCAAGCCGCGUGAGGGAAGAAGGUACAGCGUAUCGUAAACCUCUUUUGUCAGGGAACAAAGGCGGGGACUAGUCCCUGAUUGAGGGUACUUUAAGAAAAAGCAUCGGCUAACUCCGUGCCAGCAGCCGCGGUAAUCCGGAGGAUCCGAGCGUUAUCCGGAUUUAUUGGGUUUAACGGGUGCGCAGGGGGCCUGUUAAGUCAGCGGUAAAAGCCCGGGGCUCAACCCCGGCGAGCCGUUGAAACUGGCGGGCUGGAGUUGGAGAGAAGUACGCGGAAUGCGCGGUGUAGCGGUGAAAUGCUUAGAUAUCGCGAAGAACCCCGAUUGCGAAGGCAGCGUACUGGCUCCACACUGACGCUGAGGCACGAAAGCGUGGGUAUCGAACAGGAUUAGAUACCCGUGUAGUC